GCGAGCCAGUGAAGGAGCCCGGCGAGGAGGUGCCGGAGCCGGGGGACGGGGUGCCGGAGGAGCCCAGGGCAGAGCCGGCUCCCUCCGGGGCCGGACGACUCCCAGCCCGGGACUCCUCGUACGCCUUCCGCCACUGAAUUCAUGGUGGCUUCACAGCGCCGCAGGGGAAUUUCCUACAGGUUUCCCAGUCCGCAUCCGAAGGAAAUAGCCGAUCCCGGGAAGUGCUCCGCAGAGCGGGCAGGGUGCUCCCUCCGCCGGGCGCAGCCUCCGCCGCGAUCACUCAGCCCCGCAACACCAAACAGCCACAUCCAGAGCAGGAGCAUUGCCCCCGGCAGGCAGCACACAGCUCUCCUCCACAAGAGGUGAAGCAUCCAAGGUUUGUAACUGAGUUAAAAGAAAUCCUCCAAAAAUAUCGGGAUCCAGGCUCUGGGAGGAGCCUCCGCGUCCCUUGCAGCCAAUAUCCUCCUGCCCAUUUGUGCCUGACAGUUUUACAAGGGAAUGGAAUGAAGAGCGGGACUGCGGCUCCCUGUGCGCUCCCCGGUCAGCGGCGGAGCUGCAGGGCCGGGGGCUGUGCGCAGACUGCCAGAGCCUCACCGUGGGUCUGCGCGGUGCCUGCGGUGCCUCCGCUGCCAGGAGGGUCCAUUUUAUUUUGCAGUAUUUCUUGAUUGACGUCUGAGAUUUCUCCCCUCUCCUUGAUAAGGGCGGGCAGGCGGGGGGAAACCUUGUUGCUUCCACCGCAGUUAUUGGUUAGUUGCCGCUAUUCAGGGCUUUAAUGAACAUGACUUCACAAGUGUUCCCAAUCCUCCCUAAAUAACUAGGAAAGAAAAGAAAGCUGUAUUUAUGUCAGUCACUGGCAUCUCUUUCCCG